GGCCGGAUACUCUUAUUUAUGGAUUUUUUUUCAAAGCCCAACUCUUAAUUUCAGAAGCCCAAUUACUAUUCCAGAUAUUUUCAUUUACCAUUAAUAAUUGGUUGAAGAGGGUGAAUCCACGUCCCCAUCUUUCUCCUAUUUAAAGAUCAUUCAUCAUCGUUUCUAAUCACCCUCACAGAGCUAUGGAACUUCUUCACAAAUUUCCAACAACGUUAUAACAUACACAAUUCUCUUUCCAUCUAAUCUCAGCUUACUUUCUUCACUCUCAAUUUGAAGAACAACUUUCGCACUCCCUUCAAAAUUUCUUGCAAAGUCGAAUACCAUCACAAACAUCAAUUUGCAGCAACCCACUCCCAACCAUAAUCUGGAGAAAUCAAUUUAUCUCACAAGAGGUCCUACAGAAGAGGAUAUUUAGGCUCUUGGUCAGCUGAGUUAUAUUGUUUGGAUUUUCUCCAAAUCAAAUUGAGCAGCUGGUGGUGACGUGCGAGGCUGAGGAAAGGUUGUUGCUGUAAUAUUGAAGAACACUCUGUUUUACUUCCGCUGAAAUAAAUUCACUUGGUGUAUAUAAUCGUAUGCCUAACUAUACUUUAAAUCGUUUUAAUCUGGAUUCCAUUUUCCAUCGUUUUCCCAAGCGAUUGUUAUUCUGCAUAUAUAUUAUAUGCCUAAUAUGAAAUGUUGUUUUGGGCUCAGACCUUCGAACUUUCGAUCCUGUUAGGGAGAACAAUUAUAUCAUAAUAUCAUGCUUAUUACCUUUGGAAUA